rnacentral:siRNA from 1 species
UCGAUUCAGAAGGGUGUCGAUC